AUUGAACGCUGGCGGCAGGCCUAACACAUGCAAGUCGAGCGGAUGAAGGGAGCUUGCUCCUGGAUUCAGCGGCGGACGGGUGAGUAAUGCCUAGGAAUCUGCCUGGUAGUGGGGGAUAACGUCCGGAAACGGGCGCUAAUACCGCAUACGUCCUGAGGGAGAAAGUGGAGGAUCUUCGGACCUCACGCUAUCAGAUGAGCCUAGGUCGGAUUAGCUAGUUGGUGGGGUAAAGGCCUACCAAGGCGACGAUCCGUAACUGGUCUGAGAGGAUGAUCAGUCACACUGGAACUGAGACACGGUCCAGACUCCUACGGGAGGCAGCAGUGGGGAAUAUUGGACAAUGGGCGAAAGCCUGAUCCAGCCAUGCCGCGUGUGUGAAGAAGGUCUUCGGAUUGUAAAGCACUUUAAGUUGGGAGGAAGGGCAGUAAGUUAAUACCUUGCUGCUUUGACGUUACCAACAGAAUAAGCACCGGCUAACUUCGUG
rnacentral:rRNA from 1 species